rnacentral:rRNA from 1 species
UACGUAGGGUGCAAGCGUUGUCCGGAAUUAUUGGGCGUAAAGAGCUCGUAGGCGGUCUGUCGCGUCGGCUGUGAAAUCCCGAGGCUCAACCUCGGGUCUGCAGUCGAUACGAGCAAACUAGAGUAUUGCAGGGGAGACUGGAAUUCCUGGUGUAGCGGUGAAAUGCGCAGAUAUCAGGAGGAACACCGGUGGCGAAGGCGGGUCUCUGGGCAAUAACUGACGCUGAGGAGCGAAAGCGUGGGGAGCGAACAGG